rnacentral:rRNA from 1 species
CGGACGGGUGAGUAAUGUAUGGGGAUCUGCCUGAUGGCGGGGGAUAACUACUAGAAACGGUAGCUAAUACCGCAUAAUGUCUACGGACCAAAGCGGGGGACCUCCGGGCCUCGCGCCAUCAGAUGAACCCAUAUGGGAUUAGCUUGUAGGUAAGGUAACGGCUUACCUAGGCGACGAUCCCUAGCUGGUCUGAGAGGAUGAUCAGCCACACUGGGACUGAGACACGGCCCAG